GACGAACGCUGGCGGCGUGCUUAACACAUGCAAGUCGAACGGAAAGGCCUCUUUCGGGGGGUACUCGAGUGGCGAACGGGUGAGUAACACGUGAGUAACCUGCCCUUGACUUUGGGAUAACUUCAGGAAACUGGGGCUAAUACCGGAUAGGAGCUCCUGCUGCAUGGUGGGGGUUGGAAAGUUUCGGCGGUUGGGGAUGGACCCGCGGCUUAUCAGCUUGUUGGUGGGGUAGUGGCUUACCAAGGCUUUGACGGGUAGCCGGCCUGAGAGGGUGACCGGCCACAGUGGGACUGAGAUACGGCCCAGACUCCUACGGGAGGCAGCAGUGGGGAAUAUUGCACAAUGGGUGGAAGCCUGAUGCAGCAACGCCGUGUGUGGGAUGACGGCCUUCGGGUUGGAAACCGCUUUCGCUCAUGACGAAGCUUUGUGUGACGGUAGUGGGUAAAGAAGCACCGGCUAACUACGUG
rnacentral:rRNA from 1 species